rnacentral:tRNA from 1 species
UGCCGGGGUAGCCAAGUGGUAAGGCGGCUGUCUCGAAAACAGCUACGUGAAAGCGUGCAGGGGUUCGAAUCCCUUUCCCGGCGU